CGUACAAUCACCGAUGUUAAGCAAAGUCGGGCCUGAUCAGUACUUAGAUGGGUGACCAUCUUGGAAAUACUAGGUGCUGUAAG